AAACCAACAGGGAUUGCCUUAGUAGCGGCGAGUGAAGCGGCAAGAGCUCAAAUUUGAAAUCUGGUACCUUCGGUGCCCGAGUUGUAAUUUGAAGAAAGCUAUCUUGGAGGUGGCCUUUGUCUAUGUUCCUUGGAACAGGACGUCAUGGAGGGUGAGAAUCCCGUGUGAUGAGGUGUCCAUUUCCGUGUAAGAUGCUUUCGAAGAGUCGAGUUGUUUGGGAAUGCAGCUCAAAGUGGGUGGUAAAUUCCAUCUAAAGCUAAAUAUUGGCGAGAGACCGAUAGCGAACAAGUACUGUGAAGGAAGAUGAAAAGAACUUUGAAAAGAGAGUGAAAAAGUACGUGAAAUUGUUGAAAGGGAAGGGUAUUUGAUCAGACUUGGUAUUUAGCUAUCAUCGCUCCUUGUGGGUGGUGCUCUAGCUUUUUACUGGGCCAGCAUCAGUUUUGGUGGCAAGAUAAUGACAGUUGAAUGUGGCUCCUCGGAGUGUUAUAGCUUCUGUUGAUUG
rnacentral:rRNA from 1 species